rnacentral:lncRNA from 1 species
UCGUCGGCGGAAUCUGGAACUCGAAGACAGUGGCGCCAGUGCUCGAUCGUUGGGCGCGGUCAGCAACAGCGGCACCGGUGACAGGUGAGCAAAGGCGGUGGCGUCGGUCUCCGGGCAGAAUCGUGGAGAGCUUCGUGGGGGAGACCGGCGAAGCGUCGAGGAGCAGCAAGGGUGCGAAUGUCGUUGGAUCGCGAGUUGCAGCAGCACCGGUCGUCA